AACGAACGCUGGCGGCAUGCCUAACACAUGCAAGUCGAACGAAGUCUUCGGACUUAGUGGCGCACGGGUGCGUAACGCGUGGGAAUCUGCCCUUGGGUUCGGAAUAACAGUGAGAAAUUACUGCUAAUACCGGAUGAUGACUUCGGUCCAAAGAUUUAUCGCCCAAGGAUGAGCCCGCGUAAGAUUAGCUAGUUGGUGAGGUAAAGGCUCACCAAGGGCGACGAUCUUUAGCUGGUCUGAGAGGAUGAUCAGCCACACUGGGACUGAGACACGGCCCAGACUCCUACGGGAGGCAGCAGUGGGGAAUAUUGGACAAUGGGCGAAAGCCUGAUCCAGCAAUGCCGCGUGAGUGAUGAAGGCCUUAGGGUUGUAAAGCUCUUUACCGGAUGAUAAUGACAGUACCGGGAGAAUAAGACUCCGGCUAACU
rnacentral:rRNA from 1 species